UUGCGAAAAAACAUGGGGGUCAAAUAGAUCAGCGUCGUGAUAUUGAGCACCUAUGCGAAUUUUACCAGCGCUACACGCGACUACAUCGAGUUGGUGAUAUCCAGAUACAGGAACCAACAUGGCGGGAAUCUGGAACUUUUAGUGCUGACUUUGGCAAUUGUUUAGAAAUUAAAGAGACAAUGGCUACCUGGAGGACUUUAGUUGAGGUGAUGAAGGCUCUUAGCAAAGAUGCCGAUCCUAAUGGAGUCGGAAAACUUAUUACAGAGGAGUUGCGAAGAGUUGAAAACACCGAUGCAACAUUAUCUGGGGAGCUAACAGCCUACAAAGAUGUCCUUCUAGAAGCACCACCAUUAAUCAACGCAAUUGGAGCUUUCCCAGAAGUAGGUUUCAUCUGAAUUAUAUUUGUCUCGCCAUCUGUUCUUCAUUCCCUUCAAGAGUUCUGUUACUUUCACUCUGUAUC